AAAAGGAUGGCCCUGAAAGCAAAACUAGGUUCAAAGUUCAGAUAUGGGUUGUGAGAAGAGAGAGGUAUGGAGGCAUAUGGACUCUUCCAGAACCCUAGGGCCCAGGAGGGUGCCAUAAACUGCUGUCUCUCACCUGUUGAUGGAGCUGACACUGGGGACAGUGUCAUUGUCACAAACGCCUUCUGCCAGGAGCCGGUCCCGGAUCUCCCAAGCAAACAUGCUGGAAAUAAGUGCAUCCAAACCUGUAUCUGGAUGUAACGCCCCCAUGGUAAAUAAUGUUUAAAGAAAGACACGGCAUCCUUUUAUUCAUGUUUUCUCAAGACUCAGGAUGGAGCAGAGAUAGACGAGAAAAAGCCACAGCCAACAGCUCAGAAAAUUAUCAAGGUGUUGAAGAUCAGAGGGCAGAUUGCUUGCAAGAGAUGGUCUUCUCCUUCCAUAGUACAAGUAUUUCCCUAGCUCACUCACAAAAACUGAAACACUCUUUACAGUGGCUUCACAAGUCCUACUAUGUCAGCAAUGUCUUCCACCGUGUUCCCCCCUUUCCUUCUACAUGCUGUAAAUAAAGAUUCUGCUCCCA
rnacentral:lncRNA from 1 species